rnacentral:rRNA from 1 species
UAGUGGCGCACGGGUGCGUAACGCGUAGGCAAUCUACCCGAUACAGGGGAAUAACACGGGGAAACUCGUGCUAAUACCGCGUAAUAAAUGAGAAGGCAUCUUCUUAUUUUAAAAGCUUCGGCGGUAUCGGAAGAGCCUGCGUCUUAUUAGCUAGUUGGUAAGGUAACAGCUUACCAAGGCGACGAUAGGUAGGGGAACUGAGAGGUUGAUCCCCCACACUGGUACUGAGAUACGGACCAGACUCCUACGGGAGGCAGCAGUGAGGAAUAUUGGUCAAUGGACGGAAGUCUGAACCAGCCAUGUCGCGUGUCGGAAGACGGCCCUCUGGGUUGUAAACGGCUUUUCUUUGGGAAGAACACGCUCUUGCGAGAGCAACUGACGGUACCAAAGGAAUAAGCACCGGCUAACUACGUGCCAGCAGCCGCGGUAAUACGUAGGGUGCAAGCGUUGUCCGGAUUUAUUGGGUUUAAAGGGUGCGUAGGCGGCUAUUUAAGUCGUGGGUGAAAGCCCGUCGCUUAACGACGGAAUUGCCUGCGAUACUGGAUAGCUUGAGUAUCGUUAAGGUUGGCGGAAUGGGAGGUGUAGCGGUGAAAUGCAUAGAUACCUUCCAGAACACCGAUUGCGUAGGCAGCUGACUAGGCGAUAACUGACGCUGAGGCACGAAAGCGUGGGGAGCGAACAGGAUUAGAUACCCUGGUAGUCCACGCCGUAAACGAUGAUGACUCGUUGUUGGACUUCGGUUCAGUGACUAAGGGGAA